CCCUUAGAUGUUCUGGGCCGCACGCGUGCUACACUGAGUGGAUCAGCGGGUCAGGUUGCGCGAAAGCGUUUCCUAAUCUUUAAAUCCGCUCGUGAUGGGGAUUGACGGUUGCAAUUUUCUGUCAUGAACGAGGAAUACCUUGUAAGCGCGGGUCAUCAUCCCGCGCUGAAUACGUCCCUGCCCUUUGUGCACACCGCCCGUCGCUCCUACCGAUUGAGUGGUCCGGUGAGGCUUUGGGAUCUGAGCGGAAAGAGCGUUUCGCUGUUUCUGCUCGGAAAACUCAGUCGAACCUUAUCAUUUAGAGGAAGGAGAAGUCGUAACA
rnacentral:rRNA from 1 species